rnacentral:rRNA from 1 species
UACGGUAGGGCGCAAGCGUUAUCCGGAAUUACUGGGCGUAAAGCGCACGUAGGCGGCUUUGUAAGUUAGAGGUGAAAGCCCGGGGCUCAACUCCGGAAUUGCCUUUAAGACUGCAUCGCUAGAAUUGUGGAGAGGUAAGUGGAAUUCCGAGUGUAGAGGUGAAAUUCGUAGAUAUUCGGAAGAACACCAGUGGCGAAGGCGACUUACUGGACACAUAUUGACGCUGAGGUGCGAAAGCGUGGGGAGCAAACAGG